UGAGGAAUAUUGGUCAAUGGACGCAAGUCUGAACCAGCCAAGUCGCGUGAAGGACGAAGGUAUUAUGUAUUGUAAACUUCUUUUUCAGGGGAAUAAAGUGAGGCUUGCGAGCCUUUUUGCAAGUACCCUGCGAAUAAGGAUCGGCUAACUCCGUGCCAGCAGCCGCGGUAAUACGGAGGAUCCGAGCGUUAUCCGGAUUUAUUGGGUUUAAAGGGUGCGUAGGCGGGGAUUUAAGUCAGUGGUGAAAGUUUAGGGCUCAACCUUAAAAUUGCCGUUGAAACUGGAUUUCUUGAGUACGGUAGAGGUAGGCGGAAUUUGUGGUGUAGCGGUGAAAUGCUUAGAUAUCACGAAGAACUCCGAUUGCGAAGGCAGCUUACCGGACCGUAACUGACGCUGAGGC
rnacentral:rRNA from 1 species